CGGCGCUCCUUCAUCCCAUGACCUCCCCCUUCCAUCCCGCCACGUCGAUGCACACCACCCCCGUGCUCAGCCCCAUGGUGUGCCCCGCCAUUCACACUCCUCCGUCGGACGCGACUCCUCCUCCAGCCGCUUCUCCCACGGCGCCCACCACAAGGACAAGUCAACGGGCUGGAAGGGAGCGCGGGAGGAGAAGGGGUGGCAGGAGAUCGGGGUCAUCGAGGAGGAGAGGUUGCUCGACGAGGAGGACCAACGCUGCCCCAUGCCCAAGCGGUGAAAGUACUACCACAUCUUUGUCGGCGACUUCGUCGUGCUCUUCACCUUCUUCGCCCUCGUGCUCUGGGGCACUAGCCACUCCUAGAAACCGUAGAUCUCCAUGAAGAGCAUCACAUUCGAGAACUUCAUCAUCCAGGCGGGCACGGACGCGUCGCUGGUGCCGACGGACAAUGGGCUCCAGCGACCACGGAAUCGAGGGUCGCGUUGCCUAUGCAUUCCCCGGAGGCUCCGCUCCCAUUCACCUCCACGCAACCACCGUGCACCGACGCCGAUACAUCGAGUCAUCGCGAGUGGGCGACGGGCUACUCCGAGCUCCAGAUCCACAUCACUCUGGCGACGCCUGCAGUGCGCGCAUUGUUGGGAUGCAGUGCGCGCAUAUCUGGCAUGCAGUGGACCGUCGACCCUUGGUUAGGCGUCGUGUCGUUCUAUAGUCGUUGGCGUGCAGUUCGUCUCCAGUGCCAGAGAAGGGAGCUCAUCAGACCCUUUGAAAAAACAGAUGCUGUGUGUGCUGUGUUGGACGAGAUGCAGUACGGGCGGAUCUAGCAUGGAGUGCGCCGCGGACCCUUGGUUAGGCAUUGUGUCGUUCUGCAGUCGUUGGCGUGCAGCUCGUCCCCGGUGGCAGAGAAGGGAGCUCGUUGUACCCUGUGAAAAAACUGAUGUUGUGUGUGCUGCGUUGGACGAGAUGCAGUACGGACGUCGACAUCAUGCAGCUCGUCGGCGACUUACACGUGGUUCGGCAGCCAGCAGCAUGGUUCUUUUGAUUGCUAACGGAUAUGUGUGAUGCGAGCUAACUGUGUGUUAAUUUUUA